rnacentral:rRNA from 1 species
UACGUAGGGGGCAAGCGUUAUCCGGAUUUACUGGGUGUAAAGGGAGCGCAGACGGUAUGGCAAGUCUGAUGUGAAAACCCGGGGCUCAACCCCGGGACUGCAUUGGAAACUGUCGGACUAGAGUGUCGGAGAGGCAAGUGGAAUUCCUAGUGUAGCGGUGAAAUGCGUAGAUAUUAGGAGGAACACCAGUGGCGAAGGCGGCUUGCUGGACGAUGACUGACGUUGAGGCUCGAAAGCGUGGGGAGCAAACAGG